CGGAACGCGCGCCUCGCGCUGAGCCCGGGAAGGUCACAGGAGCCGUCGGCCCGGCCCCGCCGGCCCGGCCGCUCCCGAGGCUGCGGCCCUGCCCCCGUGCUGUUGCCGCGGAGCGUCCCCCUGGCAUGGCCCGGGCCUCCCCCGGGGUCUGCUCGGCCCCUGGCUCCUGACCUCACGGGCUGAGGCUCUCCCAGAUGAGGGAAUCGCGGGGCCACGCCCCGGGCAGAUGGUUGCGCCCCGUGGAGCUCCUUCCAGUCUGCCCUUGCGGCUGUUUCCCCGUCGGAGGACGCGAGGCCCCUUCCACCGGGGCAGUACCACCGGGACCCUCGGCGAGGGAGGCGCCGCGCCUGCCUUUCCCCCUUUGUUGGUGGGAAUGCUGCGACCUGAAGAGCUCUCGCUCUCCUUAACAGCUCAUGCCGGAGCUGAAAAGGGUUUCCGACCGGCUCUGCGGUUCCUUGGUUCCUCGGGGAGGUCUCUCGGCUGCUGGGGGCAUUCCACAACCAAAAACAGGUGACCAGAGGUUUUGCUGGUGGUGUGAGUAUAAUUACAUUUUUAUAUUUUCCUUUUAGAAGUUUCUCAAGAAAGAUGCUCUAACACAUUUAUUAUAUAGCAUUUUAUCUCCAUUUAUUUAAAAUUAGGGAAUAUUGGCCAUACUUAGACUAUGUAUUUAAAUUAUUGGCUAACAUGCAUAAAUUUAUUAGGUCACUUGCACAUUUGAAAGAAUUACAUUACAGCUGGCUGUGUAAGCCUGUCACAUUAAUGUCUUCAAAGAGCCUUGUUAAAAAUAGAUAGAAAUUACCCUUGAGCCUGUUACUUUAUUUCACAAUCUCAUUUUGGUAAGAUGGUGUUUUUCAAAACUAGUACAAGUUGAGAGAAAAUUGUUGAGAAGCUUCAAAACCCGCUUUGCAUUUUUAUUUUGUGAGCUUCCCUAAAAACAGUUGAUUGGUCGCCAGUUAGGAAUGCCUCAGACAUCUGUAAGAUAAGCCCUGUAGGCAUAUACUUUCCUUAGGAAGUCUUUAUAAACUAGCAUGUUAGUGGAUCACCUAUUUCUCGUUAAAUCUGCUGGUUUUAGAAUUCUCAACAUUAGAGUUCUGUGCUUUAAAAGCUGAUGCCACAUUUUUAGAGUGUUCUAAGACUGUGGGUCAGUGACUUCCUAUACGUUUUUAUUUUACCCCCUUCUUAGGAAAUCUGAUUUGGAUUUCAUAAUGCCUAUACGCCCAUAAACAUCUUAUUCUGAGGGAUGUAUAAGACCAUGGCACGUUUUUUCCCAUUUGCCUUUGGUACUGUGGAAGAAAAG
rnacentral:lncRNA from 1 species